GUUCAGUCUGAAGGGAGAAAGUAGGAUUCAGUAUUAAGAUGCACUGGGUAAUAAACUGCUGCACCAUAGCAGUUCCUGCUGCAUAGCUUGGGCUGUCUGCCCAUCACAGGCAGCCCUUUUAACCCCCUAGCUACAAAC